UAUUGGUCAAUGGACGCAAGUCUGAACCAGCCAUGCCGCGUGAAGGAUGAAGGUCCUCUGGAUUGUAAACUUCUUUUAUCUGGGACGAAAACGGGAUUUUUAUCUCAAUUGACGGUACCAGAGGAAUAAGCACCGGCUAACUCCGUGCCAGCAGCCGCGGUCAUACGGAGGGUGCGAGCGUUAUCCGGAUUUACUGGGUUUAAAGGGUGCGUAGGUGGGCUUAUAAGUCAGUGGUGAAACCUCCGAGCUUAACCGGGAAACUGCCGUUGAUACUAUUUGUCUUGAAUACUGCGGAGGUAAGCGGAAUAUGUCAUGUGGCGGUCAAAUGCUUAGAUAUGACAUAGAACACCAAUUGCGAAGGCAGCUUACUACACAAUCAUUGACACUGAGG
rnacentral:rRNA from 1 species